CGUGGGUAACCUGCCCAAGAGAUCGGGAUAACGCCUGGAAACAGAUGCUAAUACCGGAUAACAACAGAUGAUGCCUAUCAACUGUUUAAAAGAUGGUUCUGCUAUCACUCUUGGAUGGACCUGCGGUGCAUUAGCUAGUUGGUAGGGUAACGGCCUACCAAGGCGAUGAUGCAUAGCCGAGUUGAGAGACUGAUCGGCCACAUUGGGACUGAGACACGGCCCAAACUCCUACGGGAGGCAGCAGUC
rnacentral:rRNA from 1 species